rnacentral:rRNA from 1 species
CAGCCGCCGCGGUAACACGUAGGUGGCAAGCGUUAUCCGGAAUUAUUGGGCGUAAAGCGCGCGUAGGCGGUUUUUUAAGUCUGAUGUGAAAGCCCACGGCUCAACCGUGGAGGGUCAUUGGAAACUGGAAAACUUGAGUGCAGAAGAGGAAGGUGGAAUUCCAAGUGUAGUGGUGAAAUACGUAGAUAUUUGGAGGAACGUCGGUGGCGAAGGCGACCUUCUGGACUGUCACUGACGCUGAGAUCCGAAAGCGUGGGGAUCAAACAGGAUUAGAUACCCCCGUAGUCCCUGUCUCUUAUAA